GGCGCGCCCCGGCGUCACCCGCCGCGCCACUUCCUGCGCCAGCCCCCGCCCCGCGCGGCAUGGUGGGAAGCCGGAAGGGGGUCGCCGGGGGAAGAAGAUGGCGGCGCGGGGCAGGGGCCGGGUCGGUGCCGGUGGUGGAGGUGGCGGCGGAAAGGGGGAGCGGGGGUCGGGGCGCCCCGAGUCGGAGCUGCUGCUGCACCCGGAGCUGCUCUCGGAGGAGUUCCUGCUGCUCACCCUGGAGCAGAAAAAUAUACUAGUUGAAAAUGAUGUAAAGAUGGACAAAGAUGGUCUCACUGAUCUCUAUAUUCAACAUGCCAUUCCCCUGCCCCAGCGCGACUUGCCAAAAAGUAGAUGGGGGAAAAUGAUGGAGAAGAAAAGACAGCAAAAUGAGUUUAAAAGGGAGACUAAAAGUGUUACAACGGUGGAAGGUUUAAGGAAACGGCCAUUAAUUGUAUUUGAUGGCAGUUCAACAAGUACAAGCAUAAAGGUGAAGAAGACAGAAAAUGGAGCUGUUGAUCGCCUAAAACCUCCUCCAGCUGGAAGCACCACCAACACUGUUAGAAGAUUAUCUGUUCCUCCAAAUGCCUCAACGUACAUUUCAGCCUCCAGUUUAUCAGAGGACGCUAAACUGGGAAUGAGGAAUGAUGAGGCUAAGCAGAACAAUAUUUCAAAGGCUAACAGCAGUAUGUUGGCUAGUCUGAAGGUGUAUCCCUUGUCUCCAGUAGCAGGAACUACUGUUGUGAAGUUAAAGAGAGCUGUUCCAAAAGAAGAAUCUGAUUUGCCGGAAUUGGCAAGCUAGAGGAAGGAACUGGAUGUGAAAAUCUGGAGAGCUGCCUAGUCUAUGGAUCUCACUGAGAAGCUGUAACAACAAACCAUACUAGCCAAAGUGAGAGGCUAAAGGUCGCGUGCUCAUUUUGAGCCAUGGUGGUUUAAACCAAGUACCUGGGCUUCUGUAAGACGAUGAGAAAGACGUGCUAAGAUCUUGAAUAGACCAUUGCUGUUCUCAAGCGGAAGGCUGAUGGCUGAGCUGUUAACCAUAAAGAAUGACCUAAAGCCUACUGAAGCAAAGAAGAAAAUCCAGCAUGUUACAUGGCCGUGAAGUAGCUAAUGGUGCUUGAAACAUAAAUGUUACUUCCAUAUUUUCAAACAGAUAAGUCAUAUUUAAACAGUUUAAAUACAAUUCUUUUUAAACCUUACAGGAAUUCAGAUUGCUGUGAAGUUUGAACAACUUUAAAAGUUCCCUGUUGUAACGCUGGAGUCAUUAUCACCAGUCACCUUAAAAGUGUCUACUUAUGUAUGCCAAGUAGUUCAGUAUUUCUUUAAAAGGUGGUGAUAUUACAAUGUUCUACCACCAGGCCCACCCUCCUUUUUUUUUUUAGUUUUGAAGAUUAUUAUAGUUCAUCUUCAGCAUGUCAUUCCGAUUCACACCUAGAAAUACAUUAUUUUUGUUUCAGUAAGAUUCAGUUUUGUUCCACUUAUGGUCAAAUAGUUAAAAUAACUAUGAGAUUCAGAAUGAUCCCAAGAGCCGCCUUGGCAUUAAAAAGAUAAUUCAUUUAGAUGAGAAAACUGACCAUUCUGCUGAUAAGAUAGUCUGAGACAAAAUGUUUUCCUUUAUGUUGCACAGGAGUGUAGAAUUUACAGUGCAAGUUAGAUUGGUAAUAAGAGAUGAACUAUUUUAACAGCAUUACUUCAAAUUGAAGUUUCUCUUAUUGACAUAUGAAAUAAAUACACGGAUGGAAGUAUGUUAUUAGGCUGUUUGAUAUGGAUCUUUGAGAGGAAGUAGUGAAUGGAUUAGUGCCAUGUUCUUUUAAAUACACAGGCAUAUUUUAUACAUGCGUAAGUGUAAAAAUGUGCCGAAGUAGCAAAUUUGCUGUUCUCCUGAUUACAGUCAUGUUUAUAAAAUAUGGGGAAGACAUGUGGAAUGCAGGCCAGUGCUUUCUCAACUUACUAACAGUUGGAGAGGGACAGGGAUAGGAAGACAAAGUAAUACCUUGAAAGCAUUAGCGUAUGUACUUGCAUUCUUUAAAAAAAAACAAAAAGGUAACCUGUUUUCUCUUCUUUUGAUCAUUUAAGAUGGGUGUUGGUUUUCUGUGAAGCUUUGUGUUUCAUCUGCAUUGCUAGUAGUGCCUUAUGAGGCAGAAAUCCAGUUAAGUUGAUAGAAACAUUUUUAUUAAAACUCAGUGGCUCAGGGUGAAGCCAAUUUAGAUCCAUUUUAGAUACGAAUGGUAAAUAAUAAUAUCAACACUCCUGGACUUAGUAAAACAAAAAAAGAAUCAACUUCUGAAUCCGCUUAGUUAACCCGCUAAGAGAAGCUCUCAGUAGUGAUCUGAAAGAUGUUUACAUUUGUAACAUUGGUUAAUGUUGAAACCGAAACCUGUAGCUUAAUUCAUUACUGACAGAAGUUCUCCAUUCACUGUUACGACAUAAAAAGGCACUUCUCGAAUGCUGUAAAAUGGUAAGAAUGUGUGUUUUGAAAUAGUGUGCUGUUUUCCUUUUACUAAACACUUGUCCAGUUUUUGUACUUGAGUACAGCAAACUUUAACGUAAUGCACAUUUUGUAUGUAAAGAGUUGUCUUUUAAGUAGCCUUAUCCUAUUUAAAUAAAUUCAAUUAAAAGCAAACAAAGUAGUGCUGACUUGUUUUUGUGGUGUAAUUAAGCAUGUUCAUUUUACACGCUUACAUUUCAGUGGGCUUGAAGUGAUUAGAACUUGAGAAAGAGCUUACGGGGUAAAAGGCUCUGUAGCUAGUCUGGAGUUUAGCAGCAGUUAGUAUUGUGUGAACUGCUGGUCCUUGCACUAGUGUAGUAGUCUGAUAGGAGUUCUGUUUUGUGGGUGGCUUCUUGGCAGUGGUUUAGAGUUUAGGCUAUAUUUUGUUGUAGUUGUAGUUGCUAGGAGCACAUGUGUGUUGGUAUGUGUUAAGGAGUAAUAUGCAGAACUGUACUGGAAUAAUAGCAUGAUGUCUUGUUUUCAGGCCAGUUUGCUUUUCAGCCUUGUCAUGUUUCACCUCACUUUCCUCAAAGCUGGGACCAUUUUGCCAUCUGUUGUAGUGCUUGGGAGACAAGCUACAAGCCAUGCUGCUUUUGCUCCCUUCCGCUCCCCCCUUAGUAAGCCUUCUUUUCUCAGGAAAGUAUUAGAGCUGCAGUGUGCUGGGGGACUGCCAGCCCCCAGAGGAGAAAUUGAGCUGCUUGCCCUCCUCUGGGAGGUGUGAAUGUAAGAAGGAUUUUCCUGGCCAUUCUUUACUACAGCCUUCAUCAUAGAAUGAAGUCAUCAAAGGAUAGAACAUAGUAAUUCAGUGAGAUCUGAUUUGCACAGUGUGUGCACUUCAAAAAUGCACACUGCCAGCAAAGUUCUUCAAAUGGUUUACUAACCAAAUCUUACCUGAUGCAUCUACUUACCUUGUUGAAUUAAUAAGGGAGGAAUGACCUGUGAGCACGUUAUGCUUGGUACAAAAAGAGGCAAAUUCAAGAGUGGUGGCAGGAACUAGGAGCAAACUUUUCCUACCCAGUUAUACACAAAGUAUAUGCCCAAUUCUUCUUUCCACAUCUGAAGAUUCCAGUUGGAAGUGCAACAUAUUACUUUCCUCCUUUUGCUGGAUGCAAAUGAAUUCCAUCUGGAAGGUGUACCAGGAUCAUAUGUUGUGUAACAUGGCCAGAUUUCUUGAGGUUCAUUUUGGGAAAAGAGUUAAUCUCCCUUUGGAUUGUUUUCUCUUGAUUUUAUUGACCUUGCAGCAUGCUGUGACUGAACAUUACCUUUGCAGCAGACAUGUCGCAGAAACGAUGCUAGAGCAAAGGGUAUUUGCAUAUUGCAAUACAUAACAAAAUGAAAGCAUGCCCUAGUAUAGAAGUCAAACUUCUGACUUUUACAAAGAUAAAUGUCUUUUGAGCUGUCUUGACCUCCUUGCUUGCUGAGAACAACAAUAUUUUGGUUUUCAGUGUAGAGCCUAGGAGCACAUUUUUAUCAGCUGCAGUCUAUUCAGUAUUUUCACACAGUCGUUUAGUUUUGCUGAUAAUUUUCUCACGAAUUUCAGUUAGUAGAAGACUAUAUUUUAUCAGCAGGGUCCAUCUGAGGAUUGCCUAAACCCCACAGGUUCCUAAUGACUGGGUGCAAAAAGGGUCGUGUUUGUGUGGCUCUUGCAUUGUGAUCCUUCAGACUGUGAAAGCAUUUUAUCUGUAAAUAUCUAAUAUGUAAAUGCAAUUAAACCACAAUCACUCUUUUGUUUUAAAUGAUUUUAUUUUGAAAAAUACAAUGUGCAGUGUAAUGUCGACUAACUGUAAUACUGACACCGUCAAUCAGAACUUGUACUUCACACAAUGAUCAGCUAGUCAUGCAAUAAAAUAUGUACCUGUUACGAAGCA